GUGGUUUCGUGGCCAUUCUUGAACAAUGCAUGGCUGGCUUUCCAAACUCCCCUCUGCUGGAUGCACCAAGUUCCUCUUGGCCUGUCUCAGGGGUAUGACAGAGGCGCGUUCCUCAUUUGUAGACGGCUGCGUUCAGAAAGCUGCUGCAAUAAAGUUAUUUCUGACAGUUGUUCAUGAGUUCAUCGCAUGGAAGGGUUCACCUGCAGCUGUCGCUCGC